ACUUGUUAUUGUCCUGCAAUUCAACAAUUUGUCAACAGGUCGUGAGUGACAAUUUUGUAGCAACUUGAUAAAAUAACAACAUUGUUGCAACUUGUUGACAAGCUUGCUACAAGCCUGUUGCGAAUAUAUCUUGUUGACAAGUUGUGAGAUUUUUACGUGUUUUUUUUGUUACAGCCAAUCAUCACCAGAAAACAAUGCACGUCAACGCACUGUUGUUUCAACAUCUCAUGUGAGACUAGAAGCUCCCGAUCAUGCAGUAUUCUUAACUCCCGAGGACGAAACCUUCAAUGCUAGGGAUAACUAUGGAUUGGAAUUUGAUUUCGGUGUUGAUGACAAUAUAUCGCUGGAUAGAGGAUCUUUGUCAUCAACAGGUACCCCUGUCUUACCCGAUUUAUCCUCGGCAUCAUCAUUUGAAGAUCUACCGCUGGAUUUUUCGUCAGAUGCUUCAGGGUUGCAGGCUCGGGAUAGUUUCACGGCUUCGUCUAAAUUGUCGCAAGGUUCGUUC